CAGAGAACAGUGAACAGAUACAACCAGCAGAGGAGCAGGAUGAGCUUCAAUAUGCCACUGUCGACUUUUCCAGGAACCAGGCUGAUCCUCUCUACUCCAACAUCCAACCAGUUAAACCCCAAACACACAAGAAGAAGAAGAAGGAAGAAGAAGAAGGAGAACAAGAGGAGAUGGUUGAGUACUCUGUGGUUAACUUUAACAGCGGCGGUGCAGCCCAGAGCACCAGAUCCAGCUGCAUUGUACAGUACAGUCAACAAACAUGGACAAAGAAACCUCUAGUUUACUCUCAUCCAAUGAAAUCCUUACAGGAAACCACUUUGAGAAUGAAUUCUCGGGACAGACUCCUUCAAGAACGCAGCUAGACCUGCAUUUAA